rnacentral:lncRNA from 1 species
GAACAAAGAAGAUAAUAAGAAAAUAAUCAUCUGGUAACCAUCAUAGUAAUAAUUGUUCAAACACAAGUCAUCCAUGAAAUGCUAAAUCUAGUGGGUUCUGAGGAGUAACCAGAUAUUUACAGAGCCUCAAAGUAUCUCCAUACAAAAUACGGUUGAACUACUAAAAGAAAAUUGUAACAUUAGCAUGGACAAACCUGAUGUGGCUUACCCGUGGAUUCCAGAGAAGAAAGUAGAUGGGAGCAAGUGUCCAAUACAGCAACAGCUGGAAAGAAAAAUAAAGAAUUUUGUUCUUUACCUAAAACACUUCAGUUAACUAAGUGUGAGUUUAAAAACUAAAGACUUGAGAACUUUAUCAGAGUUAAUAAGAACGAGAAAUAUGUAUGUACAUUUACAAUACAAAAUUACUAUUUAAUAAUUUACACAUGGCAUUAAUUCUAAUUGUGUUUAAAUAUCAGAGCUUUUUCAGGCUU